CGCACCUCCGCCUUCCAUCGUCCCAGGGGCGGUGACGUUCAAGAACAUGGAGUCGCUACUGCGCAUGUCCGACAUCAGCCCCCUGGGAACACAGGCGUUCGUGCUCGACGAGGAGGCACUACUCAUCCGUGUCAGCAGUGGCUGGCAAUACGUGGCUCUCGGAUCUCUGGUACAGCUACCCAAGAAGACGACAGCGGUAUUUCCCCUCGUU
rnacentral:lncRNA from 1 species